rnacentral:rRNA from 1 species
GACGAACGCUGGCGGCGUGGAUUAGGCAUGCAAGUCGAACGGUAUCAUCCUUUCGGGGGUGAGAGAGUGGCGAACUGGUGAGUAACACGUAGGUUAUCUACCCUCAAGACGGGGACAACCCAGGGAAACUUGGGCUAAUACCGGAUGUGAGCAACUUUUAGUUGUUUGAAAGGUGGCGUAAGCUGUCGCUUGGGGAUGAGCCUGCGUCCUAUUAGUUAGUUGGUGAGGUAACGGCUCACCUAGGCAAUGAUAGGUAGGCGGCCUUAACGGGUGGUCGCCCACACUGGGAUUGAGAUACGGCCCAGACUCCUACGGGAGGCAGCAGUCGAGAAUAGUCUACAAUGGACGGAAGUCUGAUAGUGCGACGCCGCGUGAACGAAGAAUCCCUUCGGGGUGUAAAGUUCUUUUAUACGUGAGCAGUGUCCUUUAUAUUAAUAGUAUAAGGGGAGAGACAUUAGCGUAUGAAUAAGCAAGGCUAACUCCGUG